rnacentral:rRNA from 1 species
CCUACGGGAGGCAGCAGUGAGGAAUAUUGGUCAAUGGGCGGGAGCCUGAACCAGCCAAGUCGCGUGAGGGAAGAAGGUACUGAGUAUUGUAAACCUCUUUUGCCCGGGGACAAAGGCGGCCACGGGUGGCCGUAAGAGGGUACCUGGAGAAAAAGCAUCGGCUAACUCCGUGCCAGCAGCCGCGGUAAUACGGAGGAUGCGAGCGUUAUCCGGAUUUAUUGGGCGUAAAGCGUGCGCAGGCGGCUUAUUAAGUCUAAGAUUAAAGCCCGGAGCUUAACUCCGGUUCGUCUUAGAAACUGGUAGGCUUGAGUAUGGUAGAGGCAAACGGAAUUCCUAGUGUAGCGGUGGAAUGCGUAGAUAUUAGGAGGAACACCAGUGGCGAAGGCGGUUUGCUGGGCCAUUACUGACGCUCAUGCACGAAAGCGUGGGGAGCAAAUAGGAUUAGAUACCCGUGUAGUC